rnacentral:rRNA from 1 species
AUCGGGCUGUCCAUCAGUUUAAUAACUGGUGAGGAAAGGGCCGGGCAAGACCGGUGCCAGCCGCCGCGGUAAUACCGGCGGCUCGAGUGGUGGCCACUAUUACUGGGCUUAAAGCGUUCGUAGCUGGUUUGUUAAGUCCCUGGGGAAAUCUUCCGGCUUAACCGGAAGGCGUCUCAGGGAUACUGGCAGACUAGGGACCGGGAGAGGUGAGGGGUACUCCAGGGGUAGGAGUGAAAUCCUGUAAUCCUUGGGGGACCACCUGUGGCGAAGGCGCCUCACCAGAACGGCUCCGACAGUGAGGGACGAAAGCUGGGGGAGCAAACCGGAUUAGAUACCCGGGUAGUCCCAGCCGUAAACGAUGCGCGUUAGGUGUAUCGGUGACCACGAGUCACCGAGGUGCCGAAGAGAAAUCGUGAAACGUGCCGCCUGGGAAGUACGGUCGCAAGGCUGAAACUUAAAGGAAUUGGCGGGGGAGCAC